UACGAAGGGGGCUAGCGUUGCUCGGAAUCACUGGGCGUAAAGGGUGCGUAGGCGGGUUCUUAAGUCAGAGGUGAAAUCCUGGAGCUCAACUCCAGAACUGCCUUUGAUACUGAGAGUCUUGAGUAUGACAGAGGUGAGUGGAACUGCGAGUGUAGAGGUGAAAUUCGUAGAUAUUCGCAAGAACACCAGUGGCGAAGGCGGCUCACUGGGGCAUUACUGACGCUGAGGCACGAAAGCGUGGGGAGCAAACGGG
rnacentral:rRNA from 1 species